GGGGGUAUAGCUCAGCUGGGAGAGCGCUUGCAUGGCAUGCAAGAGGUCAGCGGUUCGAUCCCGCUUACCUAUCCCGCUUACCUCCACCA
rnacentral:tRNA from 1 species